rnacentral:rRNA from 1 species
GACGAACGCUGGCGGCGUGCCUAAUACAUGCAAGUAGAACGCACAGUUUAUACCGUAGCUUGCUACACCAUAAACUGUGAGUUGCGAACGGGUGAGUAACGCGUAGGUAACCUGCCUGGUAGCGGGGGAUAACUAUUGGAAGCGAUAGCUAAUACCGCAUAAUAUUAAUUAUUGCAUGAUAAUUGAUUGAAAGAUGCAAUUGCAUCACUACCAGAUGGACCUGCGUUGUAUUAGCUAGUAGGUGAGGUAACGGCUCACCUAGGCGACGAUACAUAGCCGACCUGAGAGGGUGAUCGGCCACACUGGGACUGAGACACGGCCCAGACUCCUACGGGAGGCAGCAGUAGGGAAUCUUCGGCAAUGGACGAAAGUCUGACCGAGCAACGCCGCGUGAGUGAAGAAGGUUUUCGGAUCGUAAAGCUCUGUUGUAAGAGAAGAACGGGUGUGAGAGUGGAAAGUUCACACUGUGACGGUAUCUUACCAGAAAGGGACGGCUAACUACGUG